AGUAACUACUGGAAACGGUAGCUAAUACCGCAUAACGUCGCAAGACCAAAGUGGGGGACCUUCGGGCCUCAUGCCAUCAGAUGUGCCCAGAUGGGAUUAGCUAGUAGGUGGGGUAAUGGCUCACCUAGGCGACUAUCCCUAGCUGGUCUGAGAGGAUGACCAGCCACACUGGAACUGAGACACGGUCCAG
rnacentral:rRNA from 1 species